UUUGAUCGAGCCCAGCCACAGCGGAUGCCCGGCGUCGCGGUGAGCGCCGUAGGUGGCGAUCAGCGCCCCGGCUUC
rnacentral:antisense_RNA from 1 species